rnacentral:lncRNA from 1 species
UGAGCCACCGCCACAUCAUGGUAACUGACAGAGGGGUGGUGUGGUUCCCUGACCAGGAAAAAAACCCAGACCGCUGAAGUGGUGAGAGCUCUGAAUUUUAAGCCCUAGGCCAUCAGGGCUGGCUCCCAAGUUCUCACUUUAAAAAGCAGGAAAGGAGUGUCUGAUAUUUUUGAGAUAAACAUCAACUAUAGCCACACAGUUUAUUAAUGUUUUAGGUAUCCUCAAAGUUCUCCAUUUUUCUGUCAGUUUUUAGAAACCUAUAUUCAUAGCAAAGGAUAGAAAUGGUUGAUUAAGUUUCAGUGAAAAGUAUCUCUGAGUUUUGAUAUUAUCAGAUAUCUCUGGCUUUAGGUUUUCUUUUUUUUUGCAGUUCUAGAGAUGUGGGUUCAGGUCCAGGCACUGGAGAUUCUGGCUCUGGGAACUUGAUCAAGGUAUUUAAUGUUUCUGAACCUCCAUUGCCUUUAGAUGUAAAAUACAAAUAAUAAUUCCUCCUCUAGGUGGUCAUUGUUAGUAGCAAAUUAGACGAAGUGUAGGUCACCUCAGAGACGGUCAGUUACAUUAGUUCUCUUCCCCUUUCUCUUAACAGCCACCCUGUAACUGAGCUGCCGUGGGAAGAGUUCUCUAGGUUGGGUCUGGAUGUUCUGGGUCUUUCUCUUCUCUUUCCAGUGAUAAGGAAAUUGAAGCUUUACAAAGACAAGCAGCUAACCCAGACUCACCCAUCCCACCUGACUCCACAAAGUUCUGAGCCACUAUGAUAUGCUGUCUGAGAUAUUGAUCAAUGUUGACUGCAAAAUUAACAGAGGUCUCAAUAAUUAAACUAUAAAUUUAUAUACAUAUCUCCCUGAUUUUCAUAAACGAUCUCUGUGACAGAAGGCCUGUGAAUAUAUUCAUGUUCUUCUGAAAGAAAACAAUUUUAUGGUUACAAAAUUUGACCUACUACUUAACUAUGGCAAAGAAUUUGAAUUCCUAGCAUACAAUACCCUUCCUGAAUU